GAAUUCAGUUAAUGACUGGCCCCAGGAAAGAACUGGAAAUGUCCAGAGUGAACAAAGUCGUCCAGAAGAAGCUCAGAGAGUUUGGCAUGAGAAUAGCUCUCGGGAAGCUAUUGAAAAUUGGACACAGGGACCUUCUGAUCCUCCAAGAAUGCGCCGUGCUGUUCCAAUGAGAAGAUUUAAUAGAUUUCAUCCACCGGACGAUGAUAAUGUGUAUAGUAUGGAACUUAGGGAACU
rnacentral:misc_RNA from 1 species